UCUGGCUAAUAUAUUGAAAUCCCUUGGUGACAACAAGAAGCACAUGAGAGAAUGUGCACUCAACACUUUAGAUUUGUGGCUUACUACUGUUCAUAUUGAUAAAAUGGUCUAUUUCAAUCUUUGCUGUCGCUGUUGAAAUUGAUACUCCUGCUGCUGCUGCUCCUGCUCAUUCUGAUGCAUCUGCUCCUGUUUCUUCUGAAGUUUCUACUUAUGUUUCUGCUGUUGCUUCUACUGCUGCUUCUGUUGUACCUUUUGUGGUUUCUUCUCCAAUAGGAGAAGUGGAUUUGGAGGAUGAUAAUAUUUCUUAUAUCAUCAGAAAGAAACUUCAAGUUUGGUGUAGGCAACAAAAGAAGAACUGGGAACUAGGAAAGAUAUAGUCAACUUCAGAAGAGGAAGCAUGUGUUUUGCUUUCAAAUGGAAAUGUUAUGAAAGUGUCCAGAUUAGCACUACUACCAGCUAAUCCCAACAUUUUAGAGGGUGUGGAUGAUCUUAUACAGCUUAGUUACUUAAAUGAACCCUUAGUUCUUUACAAUCUUAAGAGUCAUUACGCUCAAGAUUUAAUUUACGUACGUGUGCUCUUCUGGGUUGUACUUCUGCUUGGGUGUUCAUCUAUGUUCCCUUAUAUGGUAUUUGUUUUGUAUGCAGAACAAGGCAGGGCCAGUUUUACUUGCACUCAAUCCCUUGAAAGAUGUCCAAAUUUAUGGAAGUGAAUACGUAUAAGCUUAUAAACAGAGAUGUAAUGAUAAUCCUCAUGUUUAUGCUGUGGCAGAUGCACCUUAUAACGAGAUGA